GGCACGCGCGGCCCGCGCGCGGGGAAGGCGGGGCGGGCGCGUUGCCAUGGUGCUGGCCGGCCUCCUGAAUGCCGCAUUGUUCACAGCGGCGCCCCGGCUGGGCUGUCCGGGACCCACCCGGACCCACCCGGGCUGGCCUGGAGAGAAGGAAAGGCAGCAGGGAUGCAGUGAAACGAAUAUGGAGAGACAGUGGUUUGUGUCCUGCACAUUCCUCUAGGAUGCUCAGCUCACAGCCUCGGGUGGCACUGACACUUCUGGACCAAUACAGUGGAAAUCCUCACCCGCCGAGGGGAGGCUGAUUGGCCAGCUCCACACCACAGUGCCACCGAUGUCCAGCGCCUUCGAGAUGGCACACAGCUGUUGCAGAGGACUACAGGACUGGGAUCUGAGCUGGGAAUGUAGAAGGAGGAACAGUGGCCAAAACAGAGAUGGUUAAGGACCCGGGCACUCGUGCAACCAGGCCUGGAGAUCACCUGCAAACAGAGACAGGAGGACAGUCAGCACUGUGGAGUCUAGGGUAGAGGGAUGAGAAUAAUUUCAACCACUUCUACUCGGACAGAAAGAUACCAGGGUGCUGAAGGCCAAUGGCCUGGGGGUCAAUUCUGAUUCCCCCUCCUAGUUUGUGUGGCCUGCAGCAGCUUACUCCACCUUUCCACACUCUUGCUUGCAUAAAAUCUUCUAAACGCAA